CCUAGGGUGGCAGCAGUGAGGAAUAUUGGUCAAUGGGCGGAAGCCUGAACCAGCCAAGUCGCGUGAGGGAUUAAGGCCCUGCGGGUCGUAAACCUCUUUUGCCGGGGAGCAGUGGUCCGGACGCGUCCGGACCGGGAGAGUACCCGGAGAAAAAGCAUCGGCUAACUCCGUGCCAGCAGCCGCGGUAAUACGGAGGAUGCGAGCGUUAUCCGGAUUUAUUGGGUUUAAAGGGUGCGUAGGCGGGCAUUUAAGCCGGCGGUCAAAUGUCGGGGCUCAACCCCGGCCUGCCGUCGGAACUGGGUGCCUUGAGUACAGUUGAGGUAGGCGGAAUUCGUGGUGUAGCGGUGAAAUGCUUAGAUAUCACGAAGAACUCCGAUUGCGAAGGCAGCUUACUAAACUGCCACUGACAUUGAUGCUCGAAAGUGUGGGUAUCAAACAGGAUUAGAUACCCCAGUAGUC
rnacentral:rRNA from 1 species